rnacentral:tRNA from 1 species
GCCGGUGUAGCUCAGUUGGCAGAGCGGCUGAUUUGUAAUCAGCAGGUCGCAGGUUCGACUCCUGUCGCCGGCUCCA